rnacentral:misc_RNA from 1 species
AAGUCGUAACAAGGUUUCCGUAGGUGAACCUGCGGAAGGAUCAUUAAAUUCAGUAGCUUGCUACUGUUAGGGGGGGUCUAUUAGUCUGUAUAGUAUCACUACUGAUGAGCAGCACGACCCUCUGUCUAUACCCUUGUCUUUUGCGCACUCAUGUUUCCUCGGCGGCUUGAUACCCGCCGGCUGGAUCAAUCUAUAACCUUUUUAAUUUUCAAUCAGCGUCUGAAAAACCUAAUAAUUACAACUUUCAACAACGGAUCUCUUGGUUCUG